rnacentral:ncRNA from 11 species
UCUUUCCUUGUCAUGGGGUGGCUUGGGGGACUCAAUGAACGCGUAGUGAGAGCCUCCCUGCUAACACCAGACCAACACAUGCGCGUCACCCGGGCGUCACGCCCGGGCUAUGACGCAAUUUUUGGAA